rnacentral:rRNA from 1 species
GAUGAACGCUGGCGGCGUGCCUAAUACAUGCAAGUCGAGCGAACGGACGAGAAGCUUGCUUUUCUGAUGUUAGCGGCGGACGGGUGAGUAACACGUGGAUAACCUACCUAUAAGACUGGGAUAACUUCGGGAAACCGGAGCUAAUACCGGAUAAUAUUUUGAACCGCAUGGUUCAAAAGUGAAAGACGGUCUUGCUGUCACUUAUAGAUGGAUCCGCGCUGCAUUAGCUAGUUGGUAAGGUAACGGCUUACCAAGGCAACGAUGCAUAGCCGACCUGAGAGGGUGAUCGGCCACACUGGAACUGAGGCACGGUCCAGACUCCGACGGGAGGCAGCAGUAGGGAAUCUUCCGCAAUGGGCGAAAGCCUGACGGAGCAACGCCGCGUGAGGGAUGAAGGUCUUCGGAUCGUAAAACUCUGUUAUUAGGGAAGAACAUAUGUGUAAGUAACUGUGCACAUCUUGACGGUACCUAAUCAGAAAGCCACGGCUAACUACGUG